GUUUUAAUAAAAUGGUGUUUGAACAGAACAUGUAAUUCAUUUAUUUACAAUGGACUAAAGACGGCGAAUUGCGGUUAAUUACUCCACAUUAACGGAAGAAGCGGGACCGGCUUACGUUUUAAAAGCAAGUGCAACAAAGGCCGUAGCUGCAAGCAGGAGGGACAUUGCUGCGACUGGUGGGGAAUGAGUAUGACAAGAAGUUCUCCCCUACAAUUAAGGAUUGCAGCAAUUGUCUGAGAAACAUCGCUGUCAGGGGGAGACAGUGACCUAGUUGCAGGUCCUACCAUGUCUAAUAUACCAUCUACUUGUGGUCAGGUUAAAGGUAAACAGAUUAGUAAUUUCAUUUUAAACAGUGUUGUCACAAUCUUGUCUUCAUCUCUUUAUAUGACAUAUCAGACAUAUGACAUAUGGAGUACCCAACAGGCCAUUUUAUGAAGCACCCAACAGGCCAUUUUAUGGAGCACCCAACAGGCCAUGUUAUGGAGUACCCAACAGGCCAUGUUAUGGAGUACCCAACAGGCCAUGUUAUGGAGUACACAACAGGCCAUGUUAUGGAGUACCCAACAGGCCAUGUUAUGAAGUACUCAACA
ensembl:lncRNA